rnacentral:rRNA from 1 species
CUGUGAAGCGGAGCAAAUCUCAAAAACCGGUCCCAGUUCGGAUUGUAGGCUGCAACUCGCCUACAUGAAGUCGGAGUUGCUAGUAAUCGCGGAUCAGAAUGCCGCGGUGAAUGCGUUCCCGGGUCUUGUACACACCGCCCGUCACACCAUGGAAGUUGGGGGCGCCCGAAGUUGCCUAAGAAAUAAGGUACCUAAGGCGAAACCAAUGACUGGGGUGAAGUCGUAACAAGGUAUC